UACGUAGGGGGCGAGCGUUGUCCGGAUUUAUUGGGCGUAAAGAGCGUGUAGGCGGCCAGGUAGGUCUGCUGUGAAAACUCGAGGCUCAACCUCGAGACGUCGGCGGAAACCAUCUGGCUAGAGUCCGGAAGAGGAGAGUGGAAUUCCUGGUGGUAGCGGUGAAAUGCGCAGAUAUCAGGAAGAACACCCGUGGCGAAGGCGGCUCUCUGGGACGGUACUGACGCUGAGACGCGAAAGCGUGGGGAGCGAACAGG
rnacentral:rRNA from 1 species